GUCCACGCCGUAAACGUUGGGCGCUAGUUGUGGGGCUCUUUCCACGAGUUCCGUGCCGCAGCAAACGCAUUAAGCGCCCCGCCUGGGGAGUACGGCCGCAAGGCUAAAACUCAAAGGAAUUGACGGGGCCCGCACAAGCGGCGGAGCAUGCGGAUUAAUUCGAUGCAACGCGAAGAACCUUACCAAGGCUUGACAUGGGGCAGUAAUCCGGCAGAGAUGUCGGGUCCGUAAGGGCUGUUCACAGGUGGUGCAUGGUUGUCGU
rnacentral:rRNA from 1 species